GAGUUUGAUCCUGGCUCAGGAUGAACGCUGGCGGCGUGCUUAACACAUGCAAGUCGAGCGAAGCACAUGACCGGAUUCUUUCGGGAUGAAUGUUGUGUGACUUAGCGGCGGACGGGUGAGUAACGCGUGGGGAACCUGCCCCAUACCGGGGGAUAACAGCUGGAAACGGCUGCUAAUACCGCAUAAGCGCACAGUGCCGCAUGGCACAGUGUGAAAAACUCCGGUGGUAUGGGAUGGACCCCGCGUUGGAUUAGCUAGUUGGCAGGGUAAAGGCCUACCAAGGCGACGAUCCAUAGCCGGCCUGAGAGGGUGGACGGCCACAUUGGGACUGAGACACGGCCCAAACUCCUACGGGAGGCAGCAGUGGGGAAUAUUGCACAAUGGGGGAAACCCUGAUGCAGCGACGCCGCGUGAGCGAAGAAGUAUUUCGGUAUGUAAAGC
rnacentral:rRNA from 1 species